rnacentral:rRNA from 1 species
CACCGCCCGUCACAUCACGAAAGUGGGCUGUACUAGAAGUGGCCAGGCUAACCGCAAGGAGGCAGGUCACGACGGUAUGGUUCAUGAUUGGGGUG